rnacentral:rRNA from 1 species
UACGAAGGGGGCUAGCGUUGUUCGGAAUUACUGGGCGUAAAGCGCACGUAGGCGGGUGGUUAAGUCAGGGGUGAAAUCCCGGAGCUCAACUCCGGAACUGCCUUUGAUACUGGCCAUCUAGAGAUCGGAAGAGGUAAGUGGAAUUCCCAGUGUAGAGGUGAAAUUCGUAGAUAUUGGGAAGAACACCAGUGGCGAAGGCGGCUUACUGGUCCGACACUGACGCUGAGGUGCGAAAGCGUGGGGAGCAAACAGG